GAUUCAUUGCCGUGGGAUGGGGGAUGCGUCUGAUUAGCUUGUUGCGGGGCAACGGCCCACCAAGGCUACGAUCAGUAGGGGUUCUGAGAGGAAAGCCCCCCCACAUUGGAACUGAGACACGGUCCAAACUCCUACGGGAGGCAGCAGUGAGGAAUAUUGGUCAAUGGACGGAAGUCUGAACCAGCCAAGUAGCGUGCAGGACGACGGCCCUAUGGGUUGUAAACUGCUUUUAUGUGGGAAUAAAGUGAGGGACGUGUCCCUUUUUGUAGGUACCACAUGAAUAAGGACCGGCUAAUUCCGUG
rnacentral:rRNA from 1 species